UGAAAACCAUCUACAGUAUUCUUGCUACUAUUCACUCGCAUUAAGGAGUACUGUAGCUAAUUGUGUAAUCAUAGAUGUACAAUGUAACUAUAUGUUGACAUAGAAUCAAUACCAUACAGCAUGUUUCAUCGAUAGUAUCAUAUGUAAUAAUGUCAUAUUUUAUUGUUUAUUUAUAGUGCCUUAUCUUCCGUUCUUUCGAAAUAAACAAUAAUAAACUGUAAAUAAUUUAUACAAGUUUUGUUUUGUUCCGGUGUUGAAUCACAGUUAAGAAUUAUAUCUUCCAAUGAUAAAUAUGCGAUUAACAUAUUAGUUCAGCAAUGAUGCUUAAAAGACCACAGAAUUAUUUUCCCGUGUAGCUGUUGUUGAUUUCGUUGGACAAAACUAGUUCGGUGGAAUCAAAAUGUUCCUUGUUCAGUUGUUUUGCUGAACUUUCUACUUACUUUUUGUACUUAAAAUCAUUGGCAAGUAAUGAAAUUUGUGUAAUCCAUUCAAAUGGUGUUAAAUAACAAAAUUUUUCUUCAAUUCUCAACAGUUAUGAUUGCGAAAAAGUGUGGAAGAAGAGCUCCCUUAGUUCCAAAAUAACGUGAUAUUGGUAAAUUUCGGAUUCUCUUGCAUGCAGCUUCCCGGAUGCCCAAAGAAAAAGCAAAGACAAGCUGGCUCAAUUUUACUUUGCUUAUAUUUUAUUUUCAAGGAGAUCAAAAUAUAUAUCUUACAAAUAAAUAACUAAGAUGUAUCAAACACUUGUAUUCUUUUUUUGUGAGAGAAAAUGAUAACUAAUUUCCUUUUACUAUAGGUAAGGUAAGGGAUACGGUGUGCCGAUUUUUUGUCAUAUAAUUCUACUAUUUGCAUACUAUAUUUCAUAUUGUUCUCACCUCAAACACGGAUUAUAACUGGACCAUACCACAUGUUGUAUUAUGAAAUUAAUGUACUGAAAAAUGCCCUUUUUUAUACGGUAAUUAUACUUAACCGCCCAUUACCCGUAUGGUCGAUUUGCCAAUAACAACAUACCAUACUGUGAAUAUCAUUUAUGGUGAGGUUGGUGUAUCUUUAGUAUAAAUAACAGCCAGAACAGUAGAGGUAAAGUUAUUUAUAGUCAUGAACGUUUUGAGAAAUAAUCCACAUAUGGUUCAUGAUUAUGCGGG